AGAGUCCCAGGCAAUAGGACAGAGAGACUGGCCCAGCAGGGGCUCUCUGGGCCAACUGAGCGAGGUGACAGGGCCCAGGAAAGGAGCUGUUGGCUGCACAAGGGCAGAUGGAGUCAAGGAAUCAGUGUUCGUGGGAUCCUGGCUGUCCCCACAGUGUCGUGGCUGGACCUUACCAGAACAGAAGCAAGUGAGGCACAGGUAGCCGGCCACCUUGUGCAGGAAGUGUUCAUAACAAAGGCACUCAAAGCAGCAGAGACGUGGGAUGCUGAGGGACCAAGCGAGCAGAGCAGACAGUGAGUGCCGCAAGUGCUUGGAGGGGUCAGCGGGGACCCAAGCAUCCAGAAAAGGUGGGGAGCAUGCAAAGGGGUCCGAAAAAUGGAACCCUCAGUGGAAAGCACUGAGACCUUUAUUCAGUCUCUGUGCCCGGAAUCAUUGUCUGCCAGUCUCUGGCCAACCUGUAGCUUCUCCGUGCUGAAAACGACCCCCUAUAAAAGCCAAGGGGGAAGGACCCAGCACACAGCCGCGAACCACAGAUACACCAAGAGAGCCUAAAGUAAAAAAGAUAAACUUUAAAUCAAACAGAAACUUUUUCCAGCAACUUCCACUCUUGUGAUACUGAAAGGAACUGAAGCAAAAGAUUUUAAGAGUUGCCUGAAUCCUUUGGAGUUAACCUGGUUAUUGACUUAAAAAGUCUAAUUGUGAAAUUGACUUAAAAAUCCCUAAUUGUGAAAGAAGGGGUCUCUUCUCUCUUUGGAAUGACACUCUCACUAACAAUUUUCUUGAUAAGAGGACCCAACAAACAGCAAUAGAAAUAGAAAACUAUGGAUUGCUAAGUGAGAGUAUUUUUUAACCUGCUUCAACCUACAACUGCAAAAUGAACUGGCCCAAUUUAAUUAGAAAAGUCUCACAAUUUCUGGCCACUGAUCUACAUUCCUGAAAGGUUCCAUGUGAAAUAAAUGUGGUGUGUGUGUGUGUGAAAUUGAAUCAUUUUCUAACUCAUUCAGUAUAAAAAAGAAAUAGACUUGGGAUCAUUUGAACUCUGCCUUUGCAAUUUAUCAUCUUUGUGAUCUUAGACAAUCUCUUAAUUUCUCUAAGCUUCAACUUUCUCCUCUAAAAUGGAGUUGAACUCAAAGGGCUGACCUAAAGAUUACAUAAAAUGAGAAAAAGUAAGGUACUGGGGCUGAUACAUAGACAGUAUUCAAUAAAGCUUUAUGAAAUCUG